rnacentral:rRNA from 1 species
UACGAAGGGGGUUAGCGUUGCUCGGAAUCACUGGGCGUAAAGCGCACGUAGGCGGAUCUUUAAGUCAGGGGUGAAAUCCUGGAGCUCAACUCCAGAACUGCCUUUGAUACUGGGGAUCUCGAGUCCGGGAGAGGUGAGUGGAACUCCGAGUGUAGAGGUGAAAUUCGUAGAUAUUCGGAAGAACACCAGUGGCGAAGGCGGCUCACUGGCCCGGUACUGACGCUGAGGUGCGAAAGCGUGGGGAGCAAACAGG